rnacentral:rRNA from 1 species
GGUGAGUAACGCGUGGGUAAUCUACCUUCGAAUUGGGGAUAACGUUGCGAAAGCGACGCUAAUACCGAAUAACAUCCAUUAAUCUUCGGGUUUUUGGAUCAAGGGUGGCCUCUACAUGUAAGCUACUGUUUGAAGAUGAGCCCGCGUACCAUUAGCUUGUUGGUGGGGUAAAGGCCUACCAAGGCUUCGAUGGUUAGCUGGUCUGAGAGGAUGAUCAGCCACACUGGAACUGACACACGGUCCAGACUCCUACGGGAGGCAGCAGUGAGGAAUUUUGCGCAAUGGGGGAAACCCUGACGCAGCAACGCCGCGUGAGUGACGAAGGCUUUCGGGUCGUAAAGCUCUGUCAAGUGGGAAGAACCUGCAGUAUGCUAAUAUCAUAUUGCACUGACGGUACCACUGAAGGAAGCACCGGCUAACUCCGUGCCAGCAGCCGCGGUAAUACGGGGGGUGCAAGCGUUAUUCGGAAUCAUUGGGCGUAAAGAGCACGUAGGCGGCUUGGUAAGUCAGAUGUGAAAGCCCGGGGCUUAACCCCGGAAGUGCAUUUGAUACUGUCAGGCUUGAGUAUGGGAGAGGGAAGUGGAAUUCCUGGUGUAGAGGUGAAAUUCGUAGAUAUCAGGAGGAACACCGGUGGCGAAGGCGACUUCCUGGACCAAUACUGACGCUGAGGUGCGAAGGCGUGGGUAGCAAACAGGAUUAGAUACCCUGGUAGUCCACGCAGUAAACGUUGUUCACUAGGUGUAGCGGGUAUUGACCCCUGCUGUGCCGCAGUUAACGCAUUAAGUGAACCGCCUGGGGAGUACGGCCGCAAGGCUAAAACUCAAAGGAAUUGACGGGGGCCCGCACAAGCGGUGGAGCAUGUGGUUCAUUUCGACGCAACGCGCAGAACCUUACCUGGGUUUGACAUCCC